rnacentral:rRNA from 1 species
UAAACAUGUCUCUUUGUCUGUAUAACAUAAAGAGUCUGACCUGCCCAGUGAAUUACUUUUAACGGCCGCAGUACCCUGACUGUGCAAAGGUAGCAUAAUAAUUUGCCUUUUAAUUGAAGGCUUGUAUGAACGGUUUGACGAGAGCACAGCUGUCUCAUUUAUAUUCAUAAAAUUUAUUUUUUUGGUUAAAAAGCCUAAAUUCCAUUGAAAGACGAGAAGACCCUAUCGAGCUUUAAAAAAGUAUUGGUUAGAAAUUUUUUAAAUUCAGGCUGAAUAAUAUUUUGGUUGGGGCGACCGCGGAGAAAAAAAAUCCUCCGUUUAUAAUUAAUAAACGAUAGUUUUUAGAUCCAAAUAUUAUUGAUAAAAAGAAUUAGUUACCGUAGGGAUAACAGCGUAAUUCUAUUGGAGAGGUCUCAUCGAUAAUAGAGAUUACGACCUCGAUGUUGGAUUAAAAAAACAAAAAGGCGCAGAAGCUAUUAUGUGUUGGUCUGUUCGACCAUUAAAAUUUUACGUGAUCUG